AUGUCUUUCCCGCAGCGCCGCCGCGGGAGCAAGGACCGGCUGAGCGACCUCCCGGACGGCGUCGUCGGCCACAUCCUCUCGUUCCUCCCAACCAAGGAAGCCGCCCGCGCAGCCGCGCUCGCCAGGAGCUGGCGCCACAAGUUCGCCCACGUAGACACCAUCUCCUUCGGUGACUACUCCGCCCAAUCGAGAAGCAUUAACGUGUGCAGAAGGAGUGCCCGCUCACGCUAUCCACGUAGGAUCAACUACGAGACAAAAAUUCCCUAA
rnacentral:rRNA from 1 species